AUCUGGGCGCCCUUCGCCCCGAGCACCAUCGCCGGUCGCCGCCCGGUGGCUUCACCGGCAUCGCCGGCCGAGGCCACCUCACCGCCGCCCGUCUUCGUCCCCCUCCCCACCUUCGCCGCCUCGCCUCCUCGUCCGCUCCCCGAGCGCCGUCAUCGGAGGCCGCCCCGACGUCGAGCUCCUCCGUCCUCGGCCUCCUCCUCGCGCCCGCUGCCAUCCCCCUGCAACGGACGGUGAGGCCGCGGCCUCCCCCUUCUCUCCCCUGCUCGCGGUUCCUCGUGCUCCGGCCGCGCCCUGGCCGCUCUGCUCCGCGCCACCCGCCGCAUCCCCGCGCCGCGGUCGCCGCGCCAUUUUGUCGCCCGCACGCCGCUCCACUCGCGCCCGAGGCUCCAUGGCCGCACCCCCCUGGCCGUCGGCCCCGCGCGUCCCCACCACUUCAGCUUGCUGCUCCGCCCCUGGCCGCCGGAGCCCUGGCCGCUGCUCUGGCCGGCCUCGCCGUGCCUUGGCUUCGCCUAGUGGCCACAUGCGCGCGGCACAGCCGUGGCUGGCCGGCCACAACUGCCGCCCCACCCUGGGUCGCUGACCGCAGGGGCCCCGGCCCUGGCCAGAUGGGGCCUAUAACAGUUUAAAAGAAAAUGUAUUUUAAAAAUAAAAAAUUAAUUAAUUAAUUAACUUAAUUAACUCUGUUUAGUACCUAAUUAACUUGAUUAGUUAAUUAAAACUGUUAAUUAGUUGUUAGACUAUGACAGAACGGCCCCAUAUGUCAGGGUUGACUUUGGUCGACUCUGUUGACUGCUGACAUCAUGAUGAUGUCAUGCUGAUGCAAUAACCCCCAUCUUAGAUUUAAUAAUAAUUUCAGAAUAUUGUUUAAACUUUGGAAAUUCAUUUAAAAUAAUCCGUAGCUCGGAUCGAAAAACUUUGUACAUGAAAGUUGCUCAGAACGACGAGACGAAUCCGAAUACGCCCUCCGUUUGUCUGCCACACAUCCCUAGCAUAGCGAACAUGCAACCUUUUCCCUCCGGUUCAUCUGUGUGACAGACGUCCGGAACCGGGAAAACUUUCCCGGAUGUUUUCCCCCUUCGCCGGUAUCACCUCCUACCGCGUUAGGUCACACCCGGCACAUCUUAUUGCCAUGUUAUGCCUUGUGAUGCAUUGUUUGCUCUGUACUUACUAUUUCUUCCCUCUCUUCUCUCCGGUAGCCCCCGAGACCGAUGAUGCCGCUGUGAUCGUCUAUGUCACCGACGACCCCUCCUUCUUGUCUGAGCAACCACGCAAGCAAACCCCCCUUGAGCAUUCCGAUAUCGCCUAUUUCUUUCCCUCUCAUGCUUGCAUUAGAACUGCUACUGCUUUCUGUAUGAUCCUACUCUGAUGCAUAGCCUAUUGUUGUUACCUGUUUUCAUACCUUAGCUGCUUAUCCUAAACUGCUUAGUAUAGGUUGGUUAGUGAUCCAUCAGUGAACCCCACCUUGUCCUUGUUGCCCCUGCUUCAUCAUCGAUGACGCGAUCAACAUGAUCGAUGUCCAGGCCCCGACACCGCACAUCACCCCUCCCUAGUUGUACGACUCUGCAGAGUUACCAUCGAGUGCCGAGGGUGGAACCUCUUACAUCACUCCUGUUGAGACCUCUAUAGUGUAGCUAUACGGUCGAGGUCAUCGAGGGUGAUUUCCUCCUUAACCACUUAUGUUACGGCUCUGUCGUGCAACCCCUCAAGUGUGAACCUCGAGGGUGGACCCUCUUACGUUCACCUUGAUGGUAACAUCGAGUGGGAUUCACCGGGGGUGAUUCCUCGGGUUUUCCCCUUGGUGUUAGACACACAGUUACUAUGGUUACUAUGACUUUACACUGAGCCAUGUUACUAAAUACGGGUCGACCCUGAGGGGUACCCGCGCGAGCUUAAUAGCGAGUGAUGUGGAGUCGGGUUGACCUGGAAGGUGCCCGCGAGAUAACUACGAGGUGCGGCCGGGCAUUCUUAGCCCUUUCCGCAAGUACUCGAGACGGGGCAACGGGGUCACAUCUUUCGUGAGUCUCUGCUUGUUACCGCGUGCUCCCAAUCCAUUACGAUUUGGAUAUUUGAUCCGAGGGGCCUCUGGCCUGAUAGCACUAACCAUCACGUGGGCAUAGUAUGAGCGUUCUGCGUCGUAUACAUCAGCCGAAGCUUAAUAGACGUCAGCGACUAAGCGGCGCACGCCGGGUUGGACUGCGUAAGCACCUGCCUUGUUGAAGGAGGUAGCUAGGUCUGCUCACCGGCCGCCCACGCAACAUGCAGGAGUUCCUGGGGAGAUGGCCCAUGACCCCUGGGGCAUAGGUUUAGUCUAGCGUGCUGACCUCUCUAUUAAGCCUAGGUUGGGUUGCAGCGUAUUGUUUGGCCGAGGCCGGGCAUGACCCAAGAAAGUGUGUCCGGCCGGAGUUAAUCGAGUGUGGUGGGUAAGUUGGUGCACCCCUACAGGGAAGAAAACAUCUAUCGAUAGCUUGUCCUACGGUAACGGACACUUGGAGUUGUAUCCCAAUCGAUACAACUAAAACUGGAUACUUGUGAUGAGAAAUGAAUGGAUGGUGAUAAGAAAUGGAUUGUGAUGAGAAACGGAUGGUGAUGGGAAUUGGAUUGUGAUGAUAACUAGAUAGUAUGGCUCUGGGAUUACUUUCUCGCAGGGAGUCGAGAAAGGAUCUCUGGCCGAGGUUGAAAACAUUACUGCUACUUUACUUUAUGCUACUCUACUCCCUCCUGUUGCUGCAAGAUGGUGGUUUCCGGAAGAUGCUAGUCUUCGAUAGGCUUGGCUUUCCCCUUGCCUUCUGGCAUUCUGUAGUUUAGUCCAUAGAUACAUCCCAUUUCCUUUGAUACAGAUGCAUACUUAGUUUAGAUCUGAUGUAAGUCUUGCGGGUACUUUGGAUGAGUACUCACGGUUGCUUUGCUACUUCUUUUUCCCCCAUACCCGAUUGUUUCGGCCAGACGACGGAUCCCAGGAGCCAGACGAUGCCACUGAUGACUACUACUACCCGGAGGAUGCCUACUACUAUGUGAAGACCGCAGACGACUAGGAGUAGUUAGGAGGCUCCCAGGCAGGAGGCCUUGCCCUUUCGAUCGUUGUUGCUUUUGUGCUAGCCUUCUUAAGGAAAUCUUGUCUAACUUAUGUCUAUACUCAUAUAUUGUUGCUUCCGCUGACUCUUGUGUAUUCGAGCUUAUGUAUUCGAGCCCUCGAGGCCCCUGGCUUGUAAGAUAAAGCUUGUAUUAUUUUAAUUUGUGUCUAGA
rnacentral:lncRNA from 1 species